rnacentral:rRNA from 1 species
UACAGAGGUCUCGAGCGUUGUUCGGCUUCAUUGGGCGUAAAGGGUGCGUAGGCGGUGCACUAAGUUUGGUGUGAAAUCCUGGAGCUUAACUCCAGAAAUGCACUGAAUACUGGUGUGCUAGAGGACUGGAGAGGAGAUUGGAAUUCACGGUGUAGCAGUGAAAUGCGUAGAUAUCGUGAGGAAGACCAGUGGCGAAGGCGAAUCUCUGGACAGAUCCUGACGCUGAGGCACGAAGGCCAGGGGAGCAAACGGG